rnacentral:lncRNA from 1 species
AUAACACAAUAAAAAAAUUAGCAAGCAGCUGCUGGCUUUUUCUUUAAGAGGGAGAAAAAUGACUUACACAUGUUGUUUACAGCAGCAGUGAGUGAACUACUGCACCCAACUUCCACAAGUUUAUAGUUGAAAACCAGAUAUUUCCAGUUAUGUUGUACAGUGUAAGCUUUGGAAAUAUCACUCUGUAUCCUGGAAAACCAUUAAACUGAAAAAAAAACCCCAACAUAUACAUAUGGAUGACAUUGCAUCAAGUUGGAUUUCAAUCAAGAAUUGAAUAAUUUAGAGAGUUGGAAAAUUAAAUCUUAACGAUUUGAAAAUAUACCUGAUACUUUACAAAAAAGACAUCUAAAAGUGGACUGUUUCCUAAGGCACUGGUCGUCUUGAUCUGUAUGAAAAAUGGGACAUUUAUCAUUCUUUUCUGA